ACCUGCAGCUGUUCCAGGGUGACCUCUUGACUUUGUCCUUGCUCUUGGGGGAGGACGCACCACUUCCUGCAGCAGUGGAUGGGUGCGGCUAAAGAAGAUGACAUCAUCAGGAUACUCCCGAGUGGACCGGAAACGUCCGUUUGGAGUGUGGAGAUGAAGUGUGAGAAGGUGUGAUGGAGU